ensembl:lncRNA
UUAGUCUUAGUUAGUUCACUGUUCUCCUGGGAAGUUUCAGUUCUUUAGUAGAAUGUGUUUUUUUUAUCCUUUACCAGAUGUAUGCCUUUUCUAUAUCUUUCCCAGUAUAUUCAAUGUGUCAUCGGUGGAAUCCAGUCAGGCUGUAGAGACAUCAAAGAAGAUAAAAGGAAACAGGAUGAACCUGAGUUCAGCUUGUGAUGUCAUGGGCAAAUGGUCUGAAUGUCUAAAAACAUGUCGUCUCUUUGUGUCACUAUGGGUGAGUGUGUGCAGAUUGAUAGCAAAAAUUUAAUCGGUUACAAAUCAAUUUAACAAAACAACAAAGUGUGAAGGAAGUGAAACGGUCUGGAUACUUUCCCGAAGUCACUGAAUAAUGAGAAAGACCAUUCCAAACUGGCGCACGUGCGUGUCUAUGAACUGUCCAGGUAAAUAUACCAGGGUAAAGAGCCGUGCCAGUCAGAACAUGAAUGCUAAGCAGCCACACACGGGAACUUGCACCGAAGAGACCCACUGUAUUACUCGAGAUCUCAAUUGUUAUCUAGAUAUUGAUCACCACGUAGUGAAAAUAUGACUGGAAGAUAAAUAGGACCUCUGGGGCAAGAAAAUCCUUGCCUUGAACCAAAAUGCCAGAUGGUCUGUCCAAACCCACGAGGAACCAUACGUUUUUCACGUGACCCAGUAAUAACACACCAUUCUGAACUAUAAUUAUAAACAACCAACAGUGGGAACAAUGGCAGAUUUGUCUCCGUCUAUGAACAGAGGAAGCCAGGGAAGGUGCUUCUCCAUGGCUGAGGUCUAAAAACCCCGGCCAAACAUUUGCUGUACUGGAUUCAACUGUUGGCGGAGCAAACACGGCAUCUAUUGCACACAAACCGCCGAGCCUCGUCCCACACAGUCAGCCAGUCACAUCCAGGGCACCUGGCCAUUUUGGAGAGAAGGAGCUUGUCUUGUCUGACACUUCCGGCCUCCUGAAGACAGAGGACACCUGUGGGAGCAGAGCCCAUAUAUGUACUUGGGCCUCAAGUGGAACUUUGCCUGAUACCUUUUGUGCCUUAAAAAAUAAGCAAUAAAAAGAUAUUGAAUACCCAGCACCAGAAAAAAAGACCAACAAAAGAACCCUAUCAUUCAGUCAUCUCGCUGGUCUGAGAUGGAGGAAAGAACAAAUUGUGACACACAGAUGGAGGAAAGAGAAAAUCAGGACACAGAUGGAGGAAAGAGAAAAUCAGGACACAGAUGGAGGAAAGAGAAAAUCGUGACACAGAUGGAGGAAAGAGAAAAUCGUGACACACAGGUGGAGGAAAUAGAAAAUCGUGACACACAGAUGGAGAAAAUAGAAAAUCGUGACACAGAUGGAGGAAAGAGAAAAUUGUGACACAGAUGGAGGAAAGACAAAAUCGUGACACAGAUGGAGGAAAGAGAAAAUCGUGACACAGAUGGAGGAAAGAGAAGAUCAUGACACACAGAUGGAGGAAAGAGAAGAUUGUGACACACAGAUGGAGGGAAGAGAAGAUCGAGACAUACAGAUGGAGGGAAGAGAAGAUCAUGACACACAGAUGGAGGAAAGAGAAGAUCGAGACACACAGAUGGAGGAAAGAGAAGAUCGAGACACACAGAUGGAGGAAAGAGAAGAUUGUGACACACAGAUGGAGAAAAGAGAAGAUUGUGACACACAGAUGGAGGAAAGAGAAGAUCGAGACACACAGAUAGAGAAAAGACAAGAUUGUGACACACAGAUGGAGGAAAGAGAAAAUUGUGACACACAGAUGGAGGAAAGAGAAGAUCGGCUGAUCCGUCUUCCGUGUCGGCCGGGAGGCAGGAUGUGGUGCCCAGCCUACUAUACCAGCUGUACUGCCUCUGACUCACACACACACACACACACACACACACACACACACACACACACACACACACACACACACACACGUACAUGUAGUGCUUCCUGGACUGUCUGAGGUCUGUGUGUUAAAUUAGGAGCUCUGGUGAGAAAGACCUGUUUACUUACUGGCUGCUCUGCUCUGUUAGGCAGACACACGCGCACACUCACAGACACACACACACACACACACACACACACACACACACACACACAUAUUGGCUAAACUAUGACUACUGAUACAAUGUAUCACUAAACUUGGUAAUUAUAACUAAUACUAACCUACAAAGCAUAAUGCUGAUUACAAGAAAUGAAAACAGUUGUGCAACCAUUACCAGGCAAAAUCUCUGGAUCCUGAUUGAAUGCCACUGUGAGAGUCCCACCUAGUCUCAGGGAAGGUCCGAUCCUACCAAGUCAGUGGGGGGACUCAACAACAGGGGCCCAACAGUUAUCAAAUACAUACUGAUCUAGAUUUCACAGAUCUGAUCAAAUCCAUAGAGCCUGCAGGAUCAGCCGUGUUCACGUUCAGGGUCUGUUUGCCAUGGAAGCUCUUGGUGAUUACGGCAUUGCGCUUUGUGAAGUGCGACAAAUGUGAAGGGCAGAAUGACAGCUUGAGGAGAGAAAAGCCAUCUUAUUACAGCGGGUUUGGCUCAGCUCGUUUCGGCAUGAGAUCCCCUACCGAUGCCGUACCUUCAUUUGAGCCAAUUUGCCCCAAGCUCAAUCCCAGAUCCCUGGACUGUAGGAGGGUAUCUUCCAGUUCUCAUGGAUCCAGUUCACAGUCAGUGAGUUCAGACAACUGUCUGUCUGCCUGCUGGUCUGCCUGUUUGUCAACCUGAUUGUCUGUCUGCCUGUUUGACAGCCUGAUUGUAUUGGUGGCCACUACAUGUUUUCUACAGUUAGUAGUUUGUUUCAGGUUUGGAAUAAAAACACAAUGGGAACCAGAGCAAUCACUUCUCUUCACUUAGUUACUCUUCACUCUCUCACUUUUUGUCCUCUCACUCUCUCUGUCUCACUCCCUCCCUUUGUCUCUUUCUAAUACUGUUACGGUCUAUAGCAUUGCUUUCAUCUUCCUAUUUGACUGUGCCCAGUAAUCAGAAAGAGUUACACAAGCAAAGAAAAGUAAAAGAAAAGUCCUUCAACUCUCCUUCAUAAUUAGAUGUGAGAGAGAUGUGAGAUUCUAGAACAAAGAGUGCAGUUGUUUUCAAUCUUAGAGGUCACAUGACCUG